rnacentral:rRNA from 1 species
CCUACGGGAGGCAGCAGUGGGGAAUAUUGGACAAUGGGGGCAACCCUGAUCCAGCCAUGCCGCGUGAGUGAUGACGGCCUUAGGGUUGUAAAGCUCUUUUCUCCGGGACGAUAAUGACGGUACCGGAGGAAUAAGCCCCGGCUAACUUCGUGCCAGCAGCCGCGGUAAUACGAAGGGGGCUAGCGUUGCUCGGAAUCACUGGGCGUAAAGGGCGCGUAGGCGGCUGAUUUAGUCGAGGGUGAAAGCCCGUGGCUCAACCACGGAAUGGCCUUCGAUACUGGUUGGCUUGAGACCGGAAGAGGACAGCGGAACUGCGAGUGUAGAGGUGAAAUUCGUAGAUAUUCGCAAGAACACCAGUGGCGAAGGCGGCUGUCUGGUCCGGUUCUGACGCUGAGGCGCGAAAGCGUGGGGAGCAAACAGGAUUAGAUACCCUGGUAGUCCACGCUGUAAACGAUGAAUGCUAGCCGUUGGGUGCNUNCNCNCNGUGCGCGCACGCAUANANUCGUCCGUCGGAGGUACGGUCGCGAGAAUUAAAACUUAAAGUUAAGUAGUAGCGNGUGAGACGCGACGACGACGACGACGGAGGGAGGAG